CAUCCUUCCAAACCCGUCCCGUU
rnacentral:siRNA from 1 species